rnacentral:rRNA from 1 species
GUCCACGCCGUAACGAUGAAUGCCAGCUGUUGGGUGCUUGCACCUCAGUAGCGCAGCUAACGCUUUGAGCAUUCCGCCUGGGAGUACGGUCGCAAGAUUAAACUCAAGGAAUUGACGGGGCCCGCACAAGCGGUGGAGCAUGUGGUUUAAUUCGAAGCAACGCGCAGAACCUUACCAUCCUUUGACAUGGCGUGUUACCCCAGAGAGAUUUGGGGUCCACUUCGGUGGCGCGCACACAGGUGCUGCAUGGCUGUCGU